rnacentral:rRNA from 1 species
UACAGAGGUCCCAAGCGUUGUUCGGAUUCACUGGGCGUAAAGGGUGCGUAGGUGGCUUGGUAAGUUCGAUGUGAAAUCUCCGGGCUUAACCCGGAAAUGGCAUUGAAUACUAUUGAGCUGGAGGUUUGGAGGGGGACUGGAAUUCUCGGUGUAGCAGUGAAAUGCGUAGAUAUCGAGAGGAACACCUGUGGCGAAAGCGGCUCACUGGACCACAACUGACGCUGAUGCACGAAAGCUAGGGGAGCAAACAGG